UACGGAGGGUGCUAGCGUUAUUCGGAAUUACUGGGCGUAAAGCGUAUGUAGGCGGUUUGUCAAGUUGGGAGUGAAAACCCGGGGCUUAACCUCGGACCUGCUUUCAAAACUGGCAGACUAGAGCUUGGUAGGGGACAGUGGAAUUUCUAGUGUAGAGGUGAAAUUCGUAGAUAUUAGAAAGAACACCGGUGGCGAAGGCGACUGUCUGGGCCAAUACUGACGCUGAGAUACGAAAGCGUGGGGAGCAAACAGG
rnacentral:rRNA from 1 species